CGUUUUCCUUUUGCUUGCCACAUGCCAGUCCUCCGAUUCCUUUUAGGAGCUGUCUUAACAUUUCAAACUGUUAACCUUGUUGGAACUUCCUUCCCUAUGCCUAAAUCGUGAGCUUGAGGCCGAAGCGAUGUUUGAACCUUGGUUUCACAGCCUGAUCACUGACUGGAUCACACUGGCUUUUGAAGUUGCAGUUUUGAAAGCUGGACAUGGCAUCUUGCUGUUCUGAAAGUUGUAUUGCCAUGCAUUUAGCGUAAAAUGCAUAUCAGAAGCAGCUGUGAGAGUUGUUUAAAAGUAAUUUUAAAACGGAACCAUCUUGCAAGGUGAUUCACAUCCCCACCUUAUGUGAUCGAUUAGAAAAAGAGCACAGAUUUGGACUGGCCCCACCAAUCCUUGAGAUAGGACUAGUACAACUUAAAGAACAUGUUGUAAUGGGGGCAUAUUUUUCACUUGCUUUGCCCUACCCAGUUUUCCCUCUGCAGCUGCUUUUGUAUGUACUUGUGGCAAAUAUCCACUGAUAGCUAUUGAAGCAUUGCCCCCUUCCGGCUGAAUAUUGCACAUACAUUUAUGUUCCAGAUCAUGUUCUUAAGUUUACAGCAUCUGAAGUAAUAGGUCAUUCUGUAGCCACUACCAAAUAAAUAAAAUCAAGGUGAUAACAUGUAGAAUGGACCCAAGACAUUAUCCUGAUUUGAUGUUGGAUAUAUUAUCACAUAGCGCUAACUUUGCAAAGUUGUUUUUUCAAGGAAAAAGCAGUAAGAAACAGCUCAAAUGAAGUCUAAGCAGUCCAAACUCUCAGGUAAAGUGCCGUAAAGAAUGCAGAAAGAUGUAUUGUCUAAACUCAAUUUGGUUUUAAAAAUGAAAGUAGUUUUACACAGCAUUUAUUGUUAAAAGAAUGUUAAUAACUUGAUUUCUAUGUAUUUUCUGAAAGCAUGUGUGUGUCAAAAAAGCAACAACCCUUGGUUGUCUCCUUGUUACUGUCCAAGAAGGCAGGGGUUAUGAUCUUUUGAGAAUUGCUUCUCCUAGCUCCAACUUAGUUCCUUCAAUUGUCAAGCAAAGAGAAAAGAAGCAAAGCAGGGAGCCCAUUCAGAUUCCGCCAGCUUCUGAAAAGCUAAAGGAAAGCAACCUCCUUGUUGGUUCUUGGAUUCUGGAAAGGCUGACACUCUUCUGGCAGCAGCUGUUGUCUGAUCCCCCUCCCCCAUAGACUUGGCACUUGUGAUUUCAAAGAGUCUGUGCUUUGCAGAAAGAUAUAAAGUGGUUGAAAACCAA